rnacentral:rRNA from 1 species
AGUCUGGUGCCAGCAGCCUCGGUAAUUCCAGCUCCAAUAGUGUAUACUAAAGUUGCUGCAGUUAAAAAGCUCGUAGUUGGAUUUCGGUUAAUGAAAAGUUAGUCCACUUUAUAUAAGUGCGUACUGACGUUUUAUUUCCUUCUUUUCAGAUAUACAACUUGUUGUGUUCUGAAUCUUUUACUUUGAGAAAAUUAGAGUGUUCAAAGCAGGCGUAACCAAGCCUUUGAAUAUAUUAGCAUGGGAUAAUGGAAUAAGACUUUUUGCCUUAUUUUCGUUGGUUCUUGAGGCUAAAGUAAUGAUUAAUAGGGAUAGUUGGGGUCAUUAGUAUUUAAUUGUCAGAGGUGAAAUUCUAAGAUUUAUUAAAGACUAACUACUGCGAAAGCAUUUGACAAGGAUGUUUUCAUUAAUCAAGAACGAAAGUUGGGGGAUCGAAGAUGAUCAGAUACCGUCGUAGUCUCAACCAUAAACUAUGCCGACCAAGGAUUCGGGGGUGUUAUAUGAAUGACCCUCCGGGCACUUAUAGAGAAAUCAUAAGUAUUUGGGUUCCGGGGGGAGUAUGGUCGCAAGGCUGAAACUUAAAGGAAUUGACGGAAGGGCACCACCAGGAGUGGAAUAUGCGGUUUAAUUUGACCCAACACGGGAAAACUUACCAGGUCCAGACACAGUGAGGAUUGACAGAUUGAGAGCUCUUUCUUGAUUUUGUGGGUGGUGGUGCAUGGCCGUUUCUAGUUGGUGGAGUGAUUUGUCUGGUUAAUUCCGUUAACGAACGAGACCUUAACCUAUUAAAUAGUUACACAUACUUGGGAUUCGUCCUAAUAGUAUGUGGUUAACUUCUUAGAGGGACUCUUCACGUAAAGAGUGAAUGGAAGUUUGAGGCAAAAACAGGUCUGUGAUGCCCUUAGAUGUUCUGGGCUACACGCGUGUUACACUGAUAUAUUCAACAAGCAUUAUAAUUCCUUACCCGAUGGGGUUGGGUAAUCUUUUAAAUGUAUAUCGUGAUGGGGAUAGACCAUUGUAAUUAUUGGUCUUGAACGAGGAAUUCCUAGUAAGUGCAAGUCAUUAGCUUGCGCUGAUUACGUCCCUGCCCUUUGUACACACCGCCCGUCGCUCCUACCGAUGAAUGGUCCGGUGAGGACUCAGGAUGACCGUGGAUUUUGGUAUAAUAUACCAUGCCAUUGUUUGUCAGAAUCUGUUCAAACCUUAUCAU